UACAUGGGGUGCAAACGUUGCUCGGAAUCAUUGGGCGUAAAGCGCGCGUAGGCGGUUACUUAUGUCGGAUGUGAAAGCCCUCGGCUUAACUGAGGAAGUGCAUUCGAAACUGGGUAGCUAGAGUACUAAAGAGGGUCGCGGAAUUCCCGGUGUAGAGGUGAAAUUCGUAGAUAUCGGGAGGAACACCGGUGGUGAAGGCGGCGACCUGGGACAAUACUGACGCUGAGGUGCGAAAGCGUGGGGAGCAAACAGG
rnacentral:rRNA from 1 species